CAAGAAUAAAAUAAAUGAUUCUUCCUCUAAAUUUGAACACUUUAAAUACCCAAUACCUCUUAUCCUUAGGACUUUUCCUGUGUUCUGGGUUCCUUUUUUUAUGCUUAAAUAUACAUUGGUGUGGUAAUACAAUUCUUAGCUGGUGACUUAGGUGUGAUACAAUUACUGUCAUUGUGUAUUAGUCGUGCUGUGUGGGGAAAUAUUUCUGGGUAUGCUGUUGUGUAAUGAAAGCUGUAAAAACAGGUGGUUAAAGAACUUGUUUGUAAGGCAUGCACUGUUCUGUUCUGUUCUGUGUGUGGUUUCUAACCAUUUUUCUUCCCCUUUACAACACAAAUAAAGGUUUGAGUUCUAAACUCCUUAAAAAAAAGAAUCAAUAAAUGAGAUGAACUCA
rnacentral:lncRNA from 1 species